CUUUCAGUAGGGAAGAAGCGAAAGUGACGGUACCUGCAGAAGAAGCGCCGGCUAACUACGUGCCAGCAGCCGCGGUAAUACGUAGGGCGCAAGCGUUAUCCGGAAUUAUUGGGCGUAAAGAGCUCGUAGGCGGUUUGUCGCGUCUGCCGUGAAAGUCCGGGGGCUCAACUCCGGAUCUGCGGUGGUACGGGGCAGACUAGAGUGAUGUAGGGGAGACUGGAAUCCUGGUGUAGCGGUGAAAUGCGCAGAUAUCAGGAGGAACACCGAUGGCGAAGGCAGGUCUCUGGGCAUUAACUGACGCUGAGGAGCGAAAGCAUGGGGAGCGAACAGGAUUAGAUACCCUGGUAGUCCAUGCCGUAAACGUUGGGCACUAGGUGUGGGGGACAUUCCACGUUUUCCGCGCCGUAGCUAACGCAUUAAGUGCCCCGCCUGGGGAGUACGGCCGCAAGGCUA
rnacentral:rRNA from 1 species